rnacentral:rRNA from 1 species
AACGAACGCUGGCGGCAUGCCUAACACAUGCAAGUCGAACGAGACCUUCGGGUCUAGUGGCGCACGGGUGCGUAACGCGUGGGAACCUGCCCUUAGGUUCGGAAUAACUCCCCGAAAGGGGUUCUAAUACCGGAUAAUGUCUUCGGACCAAAGAUUUAUCGCCUUUGGAUGGGCCCGCGUUGGAUUAGCUAGUUGGUAGGGUAAAAGCCUACCAAGGCGACGAUCCAUAGCUGGUCUGAGAGGAUGAUCAGCCACACUGGGACUGAGACACGGCCCAGAAUCCUACGGGAGGAAGCAGUGGGGAAUAUUGGAAAAUGGGCGAAAGCAUGAUCCAGCAAUGCCGCGUGAGUGAUGGAGGCCUUAGGGUUGUAAAGCUCUUUUACACGGGAUGAUAAUGACAGUACCGGGAGAAUAAGCUCCGGCUAACUACGUG